rnacentral:rRNA from 1 species
AUACGGAAGGUCCGGGCGUUAUCCGGAUUUAUUGGGUUUAAAGGGAGCGCAGGCGGAGAUGCAAGCGUGACGUCAAAUUUCGGGGCUCAACCCCGUCUCGCGUCGCGAACUGCGUCCCUUGGUUGCGGGAAGGGGAGGCGGAACUCGUGGUGUAGCGGUGAAAUGCAUAGAUAUCACGAAGAACUCCGAUCGCGAAGGCAGCCUUCCGGCCCGUCAACGACGCUCAUGCUCGAAGGUGCGGGUAUCAAACAGGAUUAGAUACCCUGGUAGUCCGCACAGUAAACGAUGGACACCCGCGGUUUGGCCUGUAUGGCUGAGCCGCCAAGCGAAAGCGUUAAGUGUCCCACCUGGGGAGUACGCCGGCAACGGUGAAACUCAAAUGAAUUGGCCGGGG